AUUGAACGCUGGUGGCAGGCUUAACACAUGCAAGUCGAACGGUAACAGGAAUUAGCUUGCUCAUUUGCUGACGAGUGGCGGACGGGUGAGUAAUGCUUGGGAAUCUGGCUUAUGGAGGGGGAUAACUACGGGAAACUGUAGCUAAUACCGCGUAAAAUCUUCGGAUUAAAGGGUGGGACUUUCGAGCCACCUGCCAUAAGAUGAGCCCAAGUGGGAUUAGGUAGUUGGUUAGGUAAAGGCUGACCAAGCCGACGAUCUCUAGCUGGUCUGAGAGGAUGACCAGCCACACUGGAACUGAGACACGGUCCAGACUCCUACGGGAGGCAGCAGUGGGGAAUAUUGCACAAUGGGGUGAACCCUGAUGCAGCCAUGCCGCGUGAAUGAAGAAGGCCUUCGGGUUGUAAAGUUCUUUCGGUGACGAGGAAGGUUGAUAGGUUAAUAGCCUAUCAAAUUGACGUUAAUCACAGAAGAAGCACCGGCUAACUCCGUG
rnacentral:rRNA from 1 species